UACGUAGGGGGCAAGCGUUGUCCGGAUUUAUUGGGCGUAAAGAGCGUGUAGGCGGCUCGAUAAGUCUGCUGUGAAAGUCCAGGCUCAACCCUGGGAUGCCGGUGGAUACUGUCGAGCUCGAGUCCGGAAGAGGCGAGUGGAAUUCCUGGUGUAGCGGUGAAAUGCGCAGAUAUCAGGAGGAACACCAAUGGCGAAGGCAGCUCGCUGGGACGUGACUGACGCUGAGACGCGAAAGCGUGGGGAGCAAACAGG
rnacentral:rRNA from 1 species